GCUAGGCGUGGUGGUGCAUGCCUGUAAUCCCAGCUACUCAGGAGGCUGAGGCAGGAGAAUCGCUUGAACCCAGGAGGCAGAAGUUGCAGUGAGCUGAGAUCGUGCCACUGCACUCCAGCCUAGGUGACAGAGCAAGAUUCUGCCUCAA
rnacentral:SRP_RNA from 1 species